rnacentral:rRNA from 1 species
CCUACGGGAGGCAGCAGUGAGGAAUAUUGGUCAAUGGCCGGAAGGCUGAACCAGCCAAGCCGCGUGAAGGACGAAGGUGCCAAGCAUUGUAAACUUCUUUUGUCAAGGGACAAAAUCAGGCUCGAGAGCCUGACCGAGGGUACUUGAAGAAAAAGCAUCGGCUAACUCCGUUCCAACAGCCGCGGUAAUACGGAGGAUGCGAGCGUUAUUCGGAUUUAUUGGGUUUAAAGGGUGCGGAGGCGGACUGUGAAGUCAGCGGUAAAAUCCCGGGGCUCAAACCCGGCGAGCCGUUGAAACUGGCUGUCUGGAGAUCGCGAGAGGUAUGCGGAAUGCGCAGUGUAGCGGUGAAAUGCUUAGAUAUUGCGCAGAACUCCGAGUGCGAAGGCAGCAUACCGGCGGCGAUCUGACGCUGAGGCACGAAAGCGUGGGUAUCGAACAGGAUUAGAUACCCUAGUAGUC